UACGUAGGGGGCAAGCGUUGUCCGGAUUUAUUGGGCGUAAAGAGCGUGUAGGCGGUCCGGUAAGUCAGCUGUGAAAGUCAAGGGCUCAACCCUUGAAUGCCGGUUGAUACUGUCGGGCUAGAGUCCGGAAGAGGCGAGUGGAAUUCCCGGUGUAGCGGUGAAAUGCGCAGAUAUCGGAAAGAACACCAACGGCGAAAGCACUCUGCUGGGCCGACACUGACACUGAGAGACGAAAGCUAGGGGAGCGAAUGGG
rnacentral:rRNA from 1 species